AUUGAACGCUGGCGGCAGGCCUAACACAUGCAAGUCGAACGAGUGGCGGACGGGUGAGUAAUGUCUGGGAAACUGCCUGAUGGAGGGGGAUAACUACUGGAAACGGUAGCUAAUACCGCAUACCAUCGGAUGUGCCCAGAUGGGAUUAGCUAGUAGGUGGGGUAACGGCUCACCUAGGGGACGAUCCCUAGCUGGUCUGAGAGGAUGACCAGCCCAACUGGAACUUAGAAACGGUCCAGACUCCUACGGGGGGGAGCAUGGGGGAAUAUUGCACAAUUGGCGCAAGCCUGAUGCAGCCAUGCCGCGUGUAUGAAGAAGGCCUUCGGGGUGUAAAGGACUUUCAGCGGGGAGGCGUUACCCGCAGAAGAAGCACCGGCUAACUCCGUGCCAGCAGCCGCGGUAAUUC
rnacentral:rRNA from 1 species